AUACAUGCAGUCGAACGCUUCUUUUUCCACCGGAGCUUGCUCCACCGGAAAAAGAGGAGUGGCGAACGGGUGAGUAACACGUGGGUAACCUGCCCAUCAGAAGGGGAUAACACUUGGAAACAGGUGCUAAUACCGUAUAACAAUCGAAACCGCAUGGUUUUGAUUUGAAAGGCGCUUUCGGGUGUCGCUGAUGGAUGGACCCGCGGUGCAUUAGCUAGUUGGUGAGGUAACGGCUCACCAAGGCGACGAUGCAUAGCCGACCUGAGAGGGUGAUCGGCCACAUUGGGACUGAGACACGGCCCAAACUCCUACGGGAGGCAGCAGUAGGGAAUCUUCGGCAAUGGACGAAAGUCUGACCGAGCAACGCCGCGUGAGUGAAGAAGGUUUUCGGAUCGUAAAACUCUGUUGUUAGAGAAGAACAAGGAUGAGAGUAACUGUUCAUCCCUUGACGGUAUCUAACCAGAAAGCCACGGCUAACUACGUGCCAGCAGCCGCGGUAAUACGUAGGUGGCAAGCGUUGUCCGGAUUUAUUGGGCGUAAAGCGAGCGCAGGCGGUUUCUUAAGUCUGAUGUGAAAGCCCCCGGCUCAACCGGGGAGGGUCAUUGGAAACUGGGAGACUUGAGUGCAGAAGAGGAGAGUGGAAUUCCAUGUGUAGCGGUGAAAUGCGUAGAUAUAUGGAGGAACACCAGUGGCGAAGGCGGCUCUCUGGUCUGUAACUGACGCUGAGGCUCGAAAGCGUGCGGAGCAGACAGGAUUAGAUACCCUGGUAGUCCACGCCGUACACGAUGAGUGCUAAGUGUUGGAGGGUUUCCGCCCUUCAGUGCUGCAGCUAACGCAUUAAGCACUCCGCCUGGGGAGUACGACCGCAAGGUUGAGACUCAAAGGAAUUGACGGGGGCCCGCACAAGCGAUGGAGCAUGUGGUUUAAUUCGAAGCAACGCGAAGAACCUUACCAGGUCUUGACAUCCUUUGACCACUCUAUAGAUAAAGCUUCGCCUUCGGGCGCAAAGUGACAGUGGUGCAUGGUUGUCGUCAGCUCAUGUCUUGAGAUGGUGAGUUAAGUCUCGCAACCAGCGCAGCCUUAGUGUAAAUUUCAUUGGUUAGUUGGGAAAUCUACGGGACGGCCGCGACAAAAGGGGGGGGGGGGGGGUGAGGGGGGGGGGGAGCCCCCCUACGCGGGGGGCCCCA
rnacentral:rRNA from 1 species